CUCUAUUACAUGAGGCUUAGUGGAAUGCUUGAGAAAAAGAAGUGUAAAGCAAUUCUACUGGUGCCUGCUUCUUGAGCAUAUUAAUGUGUCCUCAGCCUGUCCCCAGUUUGAGGAGAUUUGACGUGGAUAAUCCAUAUCUUAUAUAUGAAGUGAGGAGAUCUGUUAUGGAUUGAAGCAGUUCACCAGGAAGACUCUGUGCUAAUGAUGAGAUGACACAGUAUCCUUGUACUGAAGAAUCUCAGACUGUAAAGAAGAAACCUGUUUCCCCUCCAUCAGCAGUGGAAAAGAGAGUGGAAAAGCCCUCUUCUGUGAUUAUGAAAUAUGCAUGAAGUGACAACCAGCUAAGUGUGACAGCAUUUGGCCUCACUUUGCCAUAGAGUAUGUCCAGAUAAGCAGUGGUAAAUUGAGCCAAGGCAAUUUAAAAUGCUAUGCUCUGUGUGCUAGCAGUUACCCUCACUGUGGUUAAGGGGACAAAGGUAGGAUUAACUGCAGAUUCCUCAGCACUGAAGUUCACAGCUUGAUGUAUAAAUUUCAGGUACUUUGAGUUUAGUUUUCCAUAUAUAAUGUGAAAUGGAUGCAUUGUGGCAGAACCUAAUCCGUGUUUUCAGAGAAGGUUAACAAAACGAAGUGAAAAGCAG
ensembl:lncRNA